rnacentral:siRNA from 1 species
UUGGCAAAGACUUUAGGAUGACCU